UACGAAGGGGGCUAGCGUUGCUCGGAAUCACUGGGCGUAAAGCGCACGUAGGCGGAUCGUUAAGUCAGGGGUGAAAUCCUGGAGCUCAACUCCAGAACUGCCUUUGAUACUGGCGACCUUGAGUUCGGGAGAGGUGAGUGGAAUUCCCAGUGUAGAGGUGAAAUUCGUAGAUAUUCGCAAGAACACCAGUGGCGAAGGCGGCUCACUGGCCCGAUACUGACGCUGAGGCACGAAAGCGUGGGGAGCAAACAGG
rnacentral:rRNA from 1 species